GAAGGUAUAGCUCAAGAGUUAGAGCGCGUGCUUAGCACGCACGAGGUCCUGGGUUCAAUCCCCAGCACCUCCA
rnacentral:tRNA from 1 species